rnacentral:rRNA from 1 species
AUUGAACGCUGGCGGCAGGCCUAACACAUGCAAGUCGAACGAGUGGCGGACGUGUUAGUAAUGUCUGUGAAACUGCCUGAUGGAGGGGGUUCACUACUGGAAACGGUUGCUACUACCGUCUACCAUCGGAUGUGCCUAGAUGGGAUUAGCUAGUAGGUGGGGUAAAGGCUUACCUAGGCGACGAUCCCUAGCUGGUCUGAGAGGAUGACCAGCCACACUGGAACUGAGACACGGUCCAGACUCCUACGGGAGGCAGCAGUGGGGAAUAUUGCACAAUGGGCGCAAGCCUGAUGCAGCCAUGCCGCGUGUAUGAAGAAGGCCUUCGGGUUGUAAAGUACUUUAAGCGGGGAGGCGUUACCAGCAGAAGAAGCACCGGCUAACUCCGUGCCAGCCGCCGCGGUAAUUC